rnacentral:rRNA from 1 species
AGUGAAUAGAUACCCAGGUAGUCCCAGCUGUAAACGAUGCGCGUUAGGUGUAUCGGUGACCACGAGUCAUCGAGGUGCCGAAGGGAAACCGUGAAACGUGCCGCCUGGGAAGUACGGUCGCAAGGCUGAAACUUAAAGGAAUUGGCGGGGGAGGCACCACAACGGGUAGGGAGCCUCGCGGUUUAAGUUUAGGACGUCAACGACCGGGCGAGCUCACCGGACGUAAGACAGCUGGAGUGAUAGCCGGGCGUGAAGACUCUGCUUGACUAGCUGAGAGGAGGUGCAUGGCCGUCGUCAGUUCGUACUGUGAAGCAUCCUGUUAAGUCAGGCAACGAGCGAGACCCACGCAACAGUUGCCAGCAUGUCCUCCGGGAGUGAUGGGGGUACGACUGUU